UACGUAGGGUGCAAGCGUUGUCCGGAAUUAUUGGGCGUAAAGAGCUCGUAGGCGGUCUGUCGCGUCUGCUGUGAAAACUCAGGGCUUAACCCUGAGCUUGCAGUGGGUACGGGCAGACUAGAGUGCGGUAGGGGAGACUGGAAUUCCUGGUGUAGCGGUGAAAUGCGCAGAUAUCAGGAGGAACACCGGUGGCGAAGGCGGGUCUCUGGGCCGUAACUGACGCUGGAGGAGCGAAAAGCAUUGGGGAGCGAACA
rnacentral:rRNA from 1 species